GUGUCUUUAGUUAAAUGGUAUAAUAGUAUUGUACGAAGAUAGAGUUAUAAGUUCGAGUCUUAUUAGACACU
rnacentral:tRNA from 1 species